GAACACAUUGGUAUUGAAGGAACUAGAUACUGUUCCGAAAUAUCACUUACUCGAACCGUCCUGACCGCGUAGCUCAGUUGGAAGAGCAUUGGGCUAGUAUUCCAAAGGUCGUAGGUUCGAAUCCCACCGUGGCCGGGCAUAUUUUUCAAGCUCGCCCGGUGUGGAUAUGCACUCAGAGUAACAUCGCAAACAUAUUAUUUACCUGAGUACACAACACCAACACAGAAAAAAAA